UGGGGAAUAUUGGACAAUGGGCGCAAGCCUGAUCCAGCCAUGCCGCGUGGGUGAAGAAGGCCUUCGGGUUGUAAAGCCCUUUUGUCCGGAAAGAAAAGCUUCGGGCUAAUACCCCGGGGUCCUGACGGUACCGGAAGAAUAAGCACCGGCUAACUUCGUGCCAGCAGCCGCGGUAAUACGAAGGGUGCAAGCGUUACUCGGAAUUACUGGGCGUAAAGCGUGCGUAGGUGGUUUGUUAAGUCUGAUGUGAAAGCCCUGGGCUCAACCUGGGAAUUGCAUUGGAUACUGGCAGGCUAGAGUGCGGUAGAGGAUGGCGGAAUUCCCGGUGUAGCAGUGAAAUGCGUAGAGAUCGGGAGGAACAUCUGUGGCGAAGGCGGCCAUCUGGACCAGCACUGACACUGAGGCACGAAAGCGUGGGGAGCAAACA
rnacentral:rRNA from 1 species